rnacentral:rRNA from 1 species
CCUACGGGAGGCAGCAGUGGGGAAUAUUGCACAAUGGGGGGAACCCUGAUGCAGCGACGCCGCGUGGGUGAGGAAGUACUUCGGUAUGUAAAGCCCUAUCAGCAGGGAAGAAAAUGACGGUACCUGACUAAGAAGCCCCGGCUAACUACGUGCCAGCAGCCGCGGUAAUACGUAGGGGGCAAGCGUUAUCCGGAUUUACUGGGUGUAAAGGGAGCGUAGACGGCGUGCCAAGUCUGGUGUGAAAGGCCGGGGCUCAACCCCGGGACUGCAUUGGAAACUGGCAUGCUGGAGUGCGCGAGACGUAUGCGGAAUGCGUGGUGUAGCGGUGAAAUGCAUAGAUAUCACGCAGAACUCCGAUUGCGAAGGCAGCAUACCGGCGCGCAACUGACGCUCAUGCACGAAAGCGUGGGUAUCGAACAGGAUUAGAUACCCGUGUAGUC